rnacentral:rRNA from 1 species
UACGUAGGGCGCAAGCGUUUGUCCGGAAUUAUUGGGCGUAAAGAGCUCGUAGGCGGCCUAUUGCGUCCGCUGUGAAAUCCCAGGGCUUAACCCCCGGGCCUGCAGUGGGUACGGGCAGACUAGAGUGCGGUAGGGGAGACUGGAAUUCCUGGUGUAGCGGUGAAAUGCGCAGAUAUCAGGAGGAACACCGGUGGCGAAGGCGGGUCUCUGGGCCGUAACUGACGCUGAGGAGCGAAAGCGUGGGGAGCGAACAGG